rnacentral:lncRNA from 1 species
CUGCCUCCUGGGUUGAAGCGAUUCUUUUGCUUCAGCCUCCUGAGUGGCUGGGACUACAGAUGCCCGCCACCACGCCCGGCUAACUUUUGUAAUUUUUUAGAGACGGAGUUUUGCCAUGUUGGCCAGGCUGGUCUCGACCUCCUGACCUCUGGUGAUGUGCCUGCCUCAGCCUUCCAAAGUGCAGGGAUUACAGGCGUGAGCCACCACACUCGGCCUAGAAACUCUUUUAUUUUAAAAAAUAUAUGUAUAUUAUAUUUAUAUAUAUAUAAUAUAUAAAAAUGUAUAUAUAAUAUGUAUAUAAAUAUAAUGUAUAAAUAUAAUAUUUAUAUAUAUUUAUAAAUAUAUUUAUAUAUUAUAUUUAUAAUAUAUAUUAUAUAUAUAAUAUAUAUAAUAAAUAUAUGUACAAUUAUAUAUAUUAUAUAUAAUAUAUAUAAUAUAUAUUAUAGAUAUAUUAAAUAUAUAUAUUUUUAUAUAUAUUAUAUAUUUAUUAUAUAUAUUAUAUAUAAAUAAUAUAAAUAUAAUAUGUAUUAUAUAUAAAUAAUAUAAAUAUAAUAUAUAUAAACAAUAUAAAUAUAUUACAUAUAAAUAAUAUAAUAUAUAUAAUAUAUUAUAUAAAUAAUAUAAAUAUAAUAUAUAUUACAUAUGUAAUAUAAAUAAUAUAGAUAUAAUAUAUAUGUAAUAUAUAUUAUAUAUAUUUAUUAAUUAUAUAUUAUAUAUAUAAAAUAUAUAUAUAUAUUUUUUUAGAGACAGCGUAUUGCUAUGUUGCUGAGGUUGGCCUCCAACUUCUGGGCUCAAGUGAUCCUCCUGCCUGAACCCCCUGCUGUAUCCCCCUACCCUGCCCCAGCAACUGUGAUUACACGCACAGAUCGGUAUGUUCAUUUAGGGAUUUGUAUUUUUAUGCACGUACCGGUAUGUUCAGUUAGGGAUUUGUAUUUUUAGAGUUUAGCAUAUAUAAACUAUUUGGACUUUCUUAAGGAGCAUAUAAUCAGAACAAAGUAAGCAAUUUAAAAAUAUAUAGCAGAGAAUCAAUAAAGAGGCUUUACAGACAUACACGGAAGAGGCACUAAAACUGGGACACCACAGGAGCUGCUGGCGGGUGAGAGGCGCUUCGCUGGCUGACAACUGCUAUGUUUCCAAACAGAACAGAGAACCAGUCUACUUAGAUACAUCCUUGUAUGGGUCAUUUGCAGUAAAGAAUUUAGGUAAAAUAACAAACUUCAUGGAGAGAUCACAUUUCUAUAUUUGAGUCAUUUAACUCCCAUGGAAGGUACUUGUGUGUAACCAACUGCUACUCAUCGAGGGCAUUUUAAAUAUAAGGAGAAUUUAAAGAAUAGAAAUUUGAUACCUUCAUGAAGGCAAAAAUUAAAAUUUGUAACCAUCAGGUUCUCCUUGAAAACCACCACUAAAAUGCAGGAAAAAUUAUUAAAAUACACAGUUUGGGUAAAACUUACAAACCCAUGUAGUAAAGCAUUUCUCCACGAUAAACAAUUACUUACCCAUGUCCAAAAGGUGAAAUAAAGUAAAAGCAACAAUGCACCCUAU